rnacentral:misc_RNA from 1 species
AGCUCUCCAAUGCCGAACAGGACGCCUCUUGCAUCAUUCCCCACGACGAGAAUCACCGGUCCGCGAUCAUUCGGCGUCUCGGUGUGAAUGUGGAAUCCUUCCUGGGGGAGCUGGCUCGUAUCUGCGGCGAAGUUGGAGGCAAACUCGCCGGCAAACUUUUCUAAAUGAGCCGCAGGCCCUACGGCGAUUACCGGCGUUUUCGCGUCCAUCGGCCAGUCAUUGGCAACCGGCAAUCGCAAGCGUGUACGGGCAGCAAUUUCGUCGACCAGCAGCUCAACCGCCUUUUGUUCUUGCCGGCUAAGAUCGUCCGGCACAACAAUCUGCGCCAUCCGUAGAUCGAUUGCUGCGAACGUUGGUU